rnacentral:rRNA from 1 species
GACGAACGCUGGCGGCGUGCCUAAUACAUGCAAGUCGAACGAGAGCAACCGGUGCUUGCACUGGUCAAUCUAGUGGCGAACGGGUGAGUAACACGUGGGUAACCUGCCCAUCAGAGGGGGAUAACAUCCGGAAACGGAUGCUAAAACCGCAUAGGUCUUCGAACCGCAUGGUUUGAAGAGGAAAAGAGGCGCAAGCUUCUGCUGAUGGAUGGACCCGCGGUGCAUUAGCUAGUUGGUGAGGUAACGGCUCACCAAGGCCGUGAUGCAUAGCCGACCUGAGAGGGUGAUCGGCCACAUUGGGACUGAGACACGGCCCAAACUCCUACGGGAGGCAGCAGUAGGGAAUCUUCCGCAAUGGACGCAAGUCUGACGGAGCAACGCCGCGUGAGUGAAGAAGGUUUUCGGAUCGUAAAACUCUGUUGUUAGAGAAGAACAAGUGCUAGAGUAACUGUUAGCGCCUUGACGGUAUCUAACCAGAAAGCCACGGCUAACCACGUG